rnacentral:ncRNA from 1 species
ACUUGAAAAAGGCAAACCCAUCGAAAGUUGGGGACGCAAAGCUAUGGGUCUAACGUGUGAAAAUCACUACGACUGCCAAGUUACCGGG